GCAAUUGAGGGACUUCAUGUCAACUUGUUGCCAUGUAAUGCUUAAGAACAUGUUAUCCUAAUUAGGAGCUUCUGUUAUGAUAGGCAAAAACAUGUCUUGUGUGAUUGUCGACCUAUUUAGUAUGUUGUAAUCUUCUAUGGGUACUUCGAAGCUACUGAUCUCAUAUUAUUUGCUAUAUAAUGGCUGCUAUGUUCAUGUGCUUUCAUUUUUUUUGUGACUUUUUCAUACCUCUCUAGCUAUUGAUCAUUUUUAAUAAAGUUUUGUAUAUAUCCAAAUAAAGUGAUACAUAAUACUUCCAAUAUAUCCACAAUUUAUGGAGAGUACAUUCUCAUACAUGUAAAAUAUUGUGUACUGUCUAGACUCUUCAAAACAUAAAAUUCAAUAGUUUGUACAUCCAAACAAGAAUUGGAAUUGGCUGCUACCCUUAGAUUCUAACUACCAAUUACAUACACAUCCAAACAACAACAUUGGCAUUGCACGCCAUUUCCAUUUCCACUCAGAUUUGGUAUUCCUACCCCAAUACAAUUCCUU
rnacentral:lncRNA from 1 species